ensembl:snRNA U6 U6 spliceosomal RNA
GUGCUUACUUUGGCAACACAUAUACUAAAAUUGGAAUGAUACGGAGAUUAGCAUUGUCCCUGGUCAAGGAUGAACCACAAAUUCAUGAAGCAUUAUAUAUAUAU